AAGGAAAGAAAAUAUCAUAUCAUA
rnacentral:sRNA from 1 species